rnacentral:rRNA from 1 species
UNGGAAUUACUGGGCGUAAAGCGGGCGCAGACGGUUACUUAAGCAGGAUGUGAANUCCCCGGGCUCAACCUGGGAACUGCGUUNUGAACUGGGUGACUAGAGUGUGUCAGAGGGAGGUAGAAUNCCACGUGUAGCAGUGAAAUGCGUAGAGAUGUGGAGGAAUACCGAUGGCGAAGGCAGCCUCCUGGGAUAACACUGACGUUCAUGCCCGAAAGCGUGGGUAGCAAACAGGAUUAGAUACCCUGGUAGUCCACGCCCUAAACGAUGUCGAUUAGCUGUUGGGCAGCAUGACUGCUUAGUAGCGAAGCUAACGCGUGAAAUCGACCGCCUGGGGAGUACGGUCGCAAGAUUAAAACUCAAAGGAAUUGACGGGGACCCGCACAAGCGGUGGAUGAUGUGGAUUAAUUCGAUGCAACGCGAAGAACCUUACCUGGUCUUGACAUGUACGGAACCCUCCAGAGACGGAGGGGUGCCUUCGGGAGCCGUAACACAGGUGCUGCAUGGCUGUCGUCAGCUCGUGUCGUGAGAUGUUGGGUUAAGUCCCGCAACGAGCGCAACCCUUGUCAUUAGUUGCCAUCAUUAAGUUGGGCACUCUAAUGAGACUGCCGGUGACAAGCCGGAGGAAGGUGGGGAUGACGUCAAGUCCUCAUGGCCCUUAUGACCAGGGCUUCACACGUCAUACAAUGGUCGGUACAGAGGGUAGCCAAGCCGCGAGGUGGAGCCAAUCUCACAAAACCGAUCGUAGUCCGGAUUGCACUCUGCAACUCGAGUGCAUGAAGUCGGAAUCGCUAGUAAUCGCAGGUCAGCAUACUGCGGUGAAUACGUUCCCGGGUCUUGUACA